rnacentral:lncRNA from 1 species
CUUCUAUCUAUUGUGCUGAAAGUGCCAAGGUGGAAAUUCUGUGCUAUUUGAGACAUUUCAUCUCUGGUCACCCAAAUAAUUCAGAAAUUUUAAUCACAACAAAAGAGAAGAAUGUUGGUAGUCUGAAUGAAAUUGGACCCAUAUGCUCAUAGGGAAUGGCACUCUUAGGAGGUGUGGCUCUGUUGCUGUAGGUAUAUUUGUGACUUUGCAUGUG